rnacentral:rRNA from 1 species
UACGUAGGCAGCAAGCGUUGUUCGGAGUUACUGGGCGUAAAGGGUGUGUAGGCGGUUAUUUAAGUUUGGUGUGAAAUCUCCCGGCUCAACCGGGAGGGUGCGCCGAAUACUGAAUGACUUGGAGUGCGGGAGAGGAAAGUGGAAUUCCUGGUGUAGCGGUGAAAUGCGUAGAUAUCAGGAGGAACACCGGUGGUGUAGACGGCUUUCUGGACCGUAACUGACGCUGAGACACGAAAGCGUGGGUAGCAAACAGGG